ACAAAAGGUCCCCACCGCCCGGCGAUUAAGAGGGAUUCCAGCCAAAACCGCUCGGCCGAUUUUCAAAAUUCCUUUUUCCCCUUCAGCCUCGAUCUUUGGUUCACCAUACUACGGUCUCCUUUUUCUCCUUUUCGCUUCCGUUCCUGAGAUAUUUACGGUUUUCUCCCGGAUUCGUUCGAAAUCCUCUCGAUCACGAUUAGUGCUCUCCGCGGUCUUUGUCCCGACUUUCUAAAGGUUCUUUCUCUCUCUUUUCUCUUGCUCUCUACAAAAGGUUUCAAAACUCCUUCCAACAGCAACCCUUCAAUUUGAACGGAGGCUUUUCAAAUUCGUUUCGCUUCCACAAAGAAUCUACUGUGUGCCGAUAAUUUAGAUGAUGUGGAAUUGGAUGAUAAAUCUACGUGCACUGCUGGUUGGCAUUCCUUUUCGAACUCGAAGCGGUCGUCGACGGUCGGUGUCGUGUGCUACAGCUACAGCUCCAGUAGUCAAUCGUGCUGGGUGCUCUCGACAGACCUCAGUAGCUACGUACGUACGGUACGCACACUGCUGCCCGUUUUUCGGUUCUGCGAUGGCUGCUGGCUGUUCCCCUUCUUCACUGGCAUCAGAAUCGAUGGCAUGUGAAUACAGAUAAACGAUCGGAUUCGCUGACUUUUUGGUUCAACAAAUCAAAGAUCGUUUCAAGCAAUAAUUAUGACCCAGACGUGAUUCUUGACUGUGGAGAAAAGGACUAAAGUUAUAUAGAUUAGCUGUUGUCCGUAAAUUGUAUUUUGUUAAUUUGUUGUUGGAGUAAGAAUCAUUUCUGAUGCACGAAACUUUGGCUGUUUUCUAUCUUUCCAUUUCUUAAGUGCUUUGUUGCUGCAGUGUUUCAAAAGCUAAUUGUGACGAAGAUAUGAUAUGUGGACCUCAAAUGUAUAGAACUGCGUAAUAACUUUAUAACUCUUUGGGGUUUAGAAGAGGUGUUUGAUUCAGAAUAAACAGGGAGCUUUGAGGGUGGCCCGCAAUUAUGUCUAAAAACAGCAUCACAAGUGAACAAAGAUUGAACGAAGUGCUUUAAAAUGAACAUUACAGCUCUAAGAAUGACUUUAGAAAAUAUUUAAAAACGCCCCAUAAGUCGACGAGGGCUAAGAGUGUAUGAUUAGAAAACUUAAAAAUUUGAUUCUGACUAAAUAGGAGAACCUCUAGGAGUAACCCAUGAAAAUGUGCCAACGAGCAUAAGGAAUUGGUGGGACUGGCAGAAGCAUGUUGCUGUCAAGUUUAAAGUAGAAUUCAGAAUAAUUAACAAAGCUUUUAGAUAAGCCUGCAAGAUAUUUAAACGACCACCACGAUACACCGAGAGAUAAAAGAAGAUGGAAACUUUGAAAAUUGCAAUUAGAAUAAGCAGGAGAAUUAAAGAGGGUAACCCGUGAAAGUAUUUAAACGAGGACCCCAACUAGAUCGUGGCUUACAAAAUAUAUUGAAGAACUUUUCUGCCUUGCCUCGAUAUUGCAACCGUUUAUGUAUCAAAUUGGUGUGUACAUUUUAAUAAACGGAAGAGUAGCUCCCAGUAAAUCCCGCUCUGCGGGCACCCUAUGGACCCCGGAAUGGAAUAGUAAGAUUAGCCUCUGAAAGUCAAGAGUGCUAUUAAGCUCGAUUUCAAAGGGGUUCAGAUGGUGAUGAAAGCUAUGAUAUUGCUAAUUGGUAAUCAUAAUAAUCAAGGAACUACUUAUUGGAUUGAUUCUAUUAGGAAUUUCGCAAGUAUGGGUAUCUGGAGCCAGCAAGUAAUUAAGUUUGGGUUUACUUUUCUAAAAGGAUUUACUGAAUUACAAUCAAGGUAAUAAAGCAUUAUCUUCCUACACGAAAAUAGCUCUUAUCUCAAUAGGGUUGUUGCUGUGAGUAAAUAAGACUUUGUCCUCGAGCAAUUAUUUCCUGCUCUUGCCAAUAGUAUAUGCUACUCACAGUAGGCGUGACUAUGGAUUAGAUUAAUUAUGUUUGCCUUUUGUCACGUUUAAAGUAUCCUUGCCUGCUUGCUGUAUGAUAUUACACUUUUUGCUUGCAUUCCUUAUUAAAUUGAAAGAAUGUAGGAAGACAUUGUUUUUUUAUUCUGAUUUUCAAGAUAGAUUCAACUUUAAUUUGAUUUGUCAGAGGAGUAAACAGAUAAGUAAGGUUGGGAAGUCUUAACAUGAAAUUUUAUGGAAAAUUAAAACAGGAGACUUAGGGGGUAACACAUUAAAAUAUCUAAACGAGGAACACGAAUAGACCUGGGCUGCAAAUGUUUUGAAGCAACUUUCAAUUAACGGAAGACUAGCUCCCCUACGAAGCCCGCUACGCGGGCUUGCCAGUGACCCUACGGUAGAGUACAUAGAUUAGCCUCGGAAAAGACAAGAAUUUUCUUAAAACCCCCUGUGAAUGAUAGUAAAAUUAGCCUCGGUAAAGACAAGAAUUCUUUCGAAGCCCCCAAUGAGUAUGCAGAUUAGCCUCGGAAAAGACAAGAGGUGUAUCAAACUCGAUUUGAAAAAAAUUGGCUCCGCACAGGUCACGUGAUAAAAAAAUUACUCGCACUCCUGUGACUAUCGCUAGGAAGGGGGGAGCCUCUACCCCUUCUCUAUUUCAGGCGACCCCCUGACUAGCGAUAGUCACAGGAGUGCGAGUAAUUUUUUUAUCACGUGACCUGUGCGGAGCCAAUUUUUUUCAAAUCGAGUUUGAUACACCUCUUGUCUUUUCCGAGGCUAAUCUGCAUACUCAUUGGGGGCUUCGAAAGAAUUCUUGUCUUUACCGAGGCUAAUUUUACUAUCAUUCACAGGGGGUUUUAAGAAAAUUCUUGUCUUUUCCGAGGCUAAUCUAUGUACUCUACCGUAGGGUCACUGGCAAGCCCGCGUAGCGGGCUUCGUAGGGGA